rnacentral:rRNA from 1 species
GACGAACGCUGGCGGCGUGCUUAACACAUGCAAGUCGAACGGAAAGGCCCUGCUUUUGUGGGGUGCUCGAGUGGCGAACGGGUGAGUCACCCGUGAGUAACCUGCCCUUGACUUUGGGAUAACUUCAGGAAACUGGGGCUAAUACCGGAUAGGAGCUCCUGCUGCCUGGUGGGGGUUGGAAAGUUUCGGCGGUUGGGGAUGGACUCGCGGCUUAUCAGCUUGUGGGUGGGGGAGUGGCUUACCAAGGCUUUGACGGGUAGCCGGCCUGAGAGGGUGACCGGCCACAUUGGGACUGAGAUACGGCCCAGACUCCUACGGGAGGCAGCAGUGGGGAAUAUUGCACAAUGGGCGGAAGCCUGAUGCAGCAACGCCGCGUGCGGGAUGACGGCCUUCGGGUUGUAAACCGCUUUCGCCUGUGACGAAGCGUGAGUGACGGUAAUGGGUAAAGAAGCACCGGCUAACUACGUG